rnacentral:lncRNA from 1 species
UAAGGCCGGUUUCUUCUUCACCCAAAUCCCCCCCAAGUGUAUUUCCAUGUCAUCUUCACCCAAAUGAAAAACGGCCUAUCCUCCCUUUACAUUGAGCCUGCAGUCAUCAACUGGUCGGAGUUUGCAGCUUUUAUAUUGAUAUUAUGGCCCAUUUCACAGCUGUAACUGUUUUGGAAAGGAUUCAUCAUGCUUGAUCUCAUUUGGCAUUGGUCAUGAAAGAAGCAGUAGUUCCCAUAUUCCAUAAGCAAAAAAAAAGGUAAAAUCAUCA